rnacentral:rRNA from 1 species
GGAUGCGAUAAUACCAGCACUAAAGCACCGGAUUUCAUCAGAACUCCGAAGUUAAGCGUGCUUGGUCGAGAGUAGUACUAGGAUGGGUGACCUCCUGGGAAGUCCUCGUGUUGCAUUUG